rnacentral:rRNA from 1 species
CCCUUAGAUGUUCUGGGCCGCACGCGCGCUACACUGAUGCAUUCAACGAGUCUAAAACCUGGUCUGAUAGGGCUGGGUAAUCUUUUGAAAGUGCAUCGUGAUUGGGAUAGAUGAUUGCAGUUCUUCAUCUUCAACGAGGAAUGCCUAGUAAACGCAAGUCAUCAGCUUGCAUUGAUUACGUCCCUGCCCUUUGUACACACCGCCCGUCGCUCCUACCGAUUGAAUGAUCCGAUGAAUACCAUGGAUUGAGAGUACGAAUGGGUUCGCUCAUUUCUGCUGCUCGAGAAGUGGAGUAAAUCUUAUCAUUUAGAGGAAGGAGAAGUCGUAACA